UAUAUGUUAUCAAUAGAUUAUUGAGGACUACUUCUCAUCUUUCAAUUUUGAUUUUUUUUCUCUUAGUAACUACAGUGCGACCUAAAGUAACAGGAAGCUCCACCAUGAGCACACUUCCAGCAGUACCUAGUACUUCUUCUGCAACAACUGUAUCACCUGAGACUACAAAUCCAACAAUAACUGCAAAAAUUACAGUUCCAAGAACUUCACCCUCAAAACCUCUUGUCACAAUAAAGUCAACUACUGAACAUACAACAUCAAUUUUUACCACACCGAACAUGACUACAACCAUCACUACCCCUUCCAUGACUACCUCAAUGAAAAGAACCAUGGCCACUACACCAAAGUCUGCUCCCUCAUCACCUUCUGCCUCAUCAGCUGCUGCUUCAACUGAGACAGAACAAGCAGGGGUCACCUCAUCACCCUUCAAGACCACCACCAAAAGGGAAACAGCAACCUCCUCAAUACCUAUUCAAACCACAACUCAGAGCACAACUUUCAGCCAGCCUAAAAUAACAACCGCAGAGAGUGAGGGAACCGAAGCAACCACUCUGCACUACCCAGAAGGUGAGUAAAAGGGACUAGAGAGAUGUCUUUGGCCUAAGACUCUCUGCUUCACCUACGUCAGCUUUUCCAGAUGAUGGUCUUGCCCAGUUUGGAAUACUUGGGAGGGGAAAUGUGUGCAUCCAACAAGGCUCUUCUUUCCUCAGGAGCUUUAGAAAAAGGCAGGGAAUGUCAAAUUGUCAGAGGCACCCUUCAGACCCACCCUCAAUCAACUUACGCUUUUCUCUCUGCAGUUGUCACCCACUUAAGAACAACCUUGACACAACCUGUGCAGCACCUCAUGACACAGACACAGA
rnacentral:lncRNA from 1 species